GGGGAUUUAGCUCAGUGGUAGAGUGCUUGCCUAGCAAGCGAAAGGCCCUGGGUUCGGUCCCCAGCUCUG
rfam:Rattus norvegicus chromosome 14, whole genome shotgun sequence.